AGGGGUGACACUAAAAGCCCACUUUAGAAGGACGUGUGCUGGCCAAUCAAGACGUGCUGUGCACAUAGAAAGUCGAAAUCAAUUAGACAAUAUGGACAAAUGUCUGAGAUAGAAGCUACAAAUAAAACAUUUCGUUAACAAAAGACACGUAGCCUAAGCAACAGCAGACGGGGCGGAUAAGAGUCAAUACACAUAACGUAUACGUAUACGUAUAUGAAAUCGUUACAAAAGUAGCGUGCCCUGAAAGCGACGAGCUCUGACAAACGAAUCAAAUCUCGGGGCACACGUAGACAAGCAAAAACAGGCAAGAGUGGGGCCAGCACGCCAACACAAACUAUUCAGAGCGAACGAUGGUCCAUGGGCUCAGAGAAGACUUUAAUUUCUCUGUCACGAGCAGGCGACGCAGAUACACACUCCAUGCGAUUGCCACACGGCACACCUGACAAAGGUCAUCAGAGAUCGGCUGCGGCAUUGGCGUCGACGCUGCGUACAUAAACCAAAUGCAUACCAAAAACCAACACGCCUGCAAUCCGUGUGAGGGCUCAAAAGAUGUCACUCGUUGCUGUCCAUGUGAAUAUUACAUGAGUAUCUCGGCGUCCCCAGGCAGCGGCAGGCAGAGCCACAUAUUGACCCAUUUCAACAUCGUCAAACAAUCCCCCAAGUGCACAACCAAGCGUUGAGCCCAGCACGGAGAAGAGCACACCACGCGAGACCAGACAGACGGGCGGGCGGGCAGGCGGCCUGCCAGCCAGCCUAUCCACAUGGACAAGCGCGUUACUUCUUUCGCUUAAUAAACCCAAAUGCCACCAAAAUCAAAAGGAAAUGCCACUUACGCCUAAUGGCAUCACGAAGCUCUGUGGCUGACAGCUGAAUCGCCCGAAACAAAACCGACAACCUUCUCGCACAAACACUACCUGACAACGGCGACAACAAAAGCAACAACUACAACAUACGAGAGACUAUGUCGUCGUGGAGUAAUUGGUUAUUCGUAUACCCUGUACUCAUUAAAAACGGAUAGAAAAGAGUUGAAUAGUUUUGUAGAAGUAUAUGUAACAGACAGAGGGAGGCAUCAUCAUCCGCUCAGUCGAUCUUGGGGUGUCCAUACGUCCAUUCGCCUAUCCGCCUGUUUAUCUGUCCAAAUAUAGGAGUACAUCUCGGAUACGCAAACAACUAGAGACGUGACAUCUUAGACAUAUAUUCUGGGAUAUCAUAUGCACGUCUCCACUCCUUAUAUUCAAGGAUAUUUCUUAACUCCUGCGAUAAUUUCCGUUACUCUAGCCAUCUCAUCCUAUAGACACUUUUUGAAAACUACUCAAAACCUUCUUUGAAUGUGUUACUGUGAUAAAUAAGUAAGAUGGAAACUGGUCUAAUAAGGCUCUGCUCUUCCGAGUGACCAAUUGAUGUGCAGGCGCUUAAACCCACCAAACACAACAUCGAGAGUGGCGAACAAAAUACUAAAAUAAAGCAAUUAAAUUUUAUUAAAAUCCA